rnacentral:rRNA from 1 species
GAUGAACGCUGGCGGCGUGCCUAAUACAUGCAAGUCGAGCGAACGGACGAGAAGCUUGCUUCUCUGAUGUUAGCGGCGGACGGGUGAGUAACACGUGGAUAACCUCCCUAUAAGACUGGGAUAACUUCGGGAAACCGGAGCUAAUACCGGAUAAUAUUUUGAACCGCAUGGUUCAAAAGUGAAAGACGGUCUUGCUGUCACUUAUAGAUGGAUCAGCGCUGCAUUAGCUAGUUGGUAAGGUAACGGCUUACCAAGGCAACGAUGCAUAGCCGACCUGAGAGGGUGAUCGGCCACACUGGAACUGAGACACGGUCCAGACUCCUACAGGAGGCAGCAGUAGGGAAUCUUCCGCAAUGGGCGAAAGCCUGACGGAGCAACGCCGCGUGAGUGAUGAAGGUCUUCGGAUCGUAAAACUCUGUUAUUAGGGAAGAACAUAUGUGUAAGUAACUGUGCACAUCUUGACGGUACCUGAUCAGAAAGCCACGGCUAACUACGUG